UUAAAUUGAAGAGUUUGAUCAUGGCUCAGAUUGAACGCUGGCGGCAGGCCUAACACAUGCAAGUCGAACGGUAACAGGAAUCAGCUUGCUGAUUUGCUGACGAGUGGCGGACGGGUGAGUAAUGUCUGGGAAACUGCCUGAUGGAGGGGGAUAACUACUGGAAACGGUAGCUAAUACCGCAUAACGUCGCAAGACCAAAGAGGGGGACCUUCGGGCCUCUUGCCAUCGGAUGUGCCCAGAUGGGAUUAGCUAGUAGGUGGGGUAACGGCUCACCUAGGCGACGAUCCCUAGCUGGUCUGAGAGGAUGACCAGCCACACUGGAACUGAGACACGGUCCAGACUCCUACGGGAGGCAGGCAGUGGGGAAUAUUGC
rnacentral:rRNA from 1 species